GGGAGCUGCGCGGCUCCCGGAGAGGCGCGGCCCCACAGGCGCAGCUCCCGCGGCCGGGGCAGGCGGACACGAGGAUGCCAGCUACAAGGGUCUUUCACAGAUAAAAAUGAAAGAAUCAUAGAAUAUGCUGAGUUUGAAGGAACCCUUCAGGAUCAUCAAGUUCAAUUCCUGGGUCCACCCAGGACACCCAAAGAAUCUCACUACUUGAACCUGUCAGGCUUGGUGAUAUGACCACUUUCUGGGGGAUCCUCAUCCAGUGCCCAAACACCCUCUGGAUGAUGUAUUUUAGCUGUGUUCCAUGGAAGCAUUUAAGACGGAUUACUGAUUACUGAGAAAUUCAUCUGCAGUUCUGGAUGCCUUGGAAACAACAUAUGCUAGCAACAAAAAGAAAACUUGGUCUUUACUGCAUCACAGCAUAUUCUGAAGGCAAUAAUUGUUGGAAGAUUGUAUAGUGACAUGCAGUUGCACUGUUUUGGGGACAGAAGCAAUUCUGCUUUUGGACAGCUUGUGGCAUAUGAAAAAUGCUUGAGAGAAGGUACCCCCAGAAAGUAAAACCCUGACUCUCAGUGUCUUUUACUUGGUCUUUUCAAUUAUUUACCUAUUGCAACAUACACUGGAAAUGUAGUAUUUGUUAGAUUUCUACUUGCUUGCUUGCUUGCUUUCACCACCAUGGACCCCAACAGACAAAAUAAGAUAAUGACAUGUUUUAAUUUAAACAUAUAUACUUCAGAAAUAGGCUGUUUACAGUCAGUCAUAAUCUUGCAAUGGAAAUCAACAGGAAAAAUCUAUGAUUAGUACCUAAGGUACUUUUUUUUUCCUCUAUUUUCUAAUAUGUAAAAAUUACAUUUUGAACUUAAAAACAGGUUGUUUCUAUGACAUGUGUUUAUGUAUAUUUUAUUCUUUCAGGGUUUCUUAGAGAAUGAUCUUCAUCUUUCCUAUUAAACUACUGCUUUUUCAAAAUUUUUUGCUUUCUUACUGUUCCAUGUGUUCAGUAGUGUAUUAAAGAAAAAGUAAAAUUCAAUGAAAAGAACCUUAAACCAGUUUCAACUCUCUUGCAUUUUUAUUACUAUUUUGCAUUCAUCUUACAGAGUUUAAUUGUUUAGAAAUCCUUAGAUCCUUUGCAGACAAAAUCUUCGUUGAUUUUGCUUGAAAUUAUUGUAAAGUGGAGUUUUGAGACUGGUCUUGUGUGUGUGUGAGACACAGCUCCUGAUCAUUUUCCCUGUUUGUCUACUCAGAACACUUUUUCCACCAAUACAACUUAACU